rnacentral:rRNA from 1 species
UACGGAGGGUGCAAGCGUUAUCCGGAUUCACUGGGUUUAAAGGGUGCGUAGGCGGCGCGGUAAGUCGGGUGUGAAAUCUCGGAGCUUAACUCCGAAACUGCAUUCGAUACUGCCGUGCUUGAGGACUGGAGAGGAGACUGGAAUUUACGGUGUAGCAGUGAAAUGCGUAGAUAUCGUAAGGAAGACCAGUGGCGAAGGCGGGUCUCUGGACAGUUCCUGACACUGAGGCACGAAGGCCAGGGGAGCAAACGGG